AUGGCGGCUCCUGGCCCUGUGACUCCAGAGGUCCCCUUUGAACCAUGGAAGCCCCCAGUCAUUUAGGGGUUUAGCUCCACUGUUUACAGCAAUCCAGAGAGUUUCAAGGAAAAAUUCCUUCACAAGACCCGCGAGAACCACAUGGUACCCAGGUUGCCUAGGCAUGGCGACCGCCCUCACCUACGGCCUCUACUGCUUCCACCAGGGCCACAGUCAGCGCUCUCAGCUCAUGACACGCACCCGGAUCGCUGUCCAGGGCUUCACAGUCGCAGCCAUCUUGCUGGGUCUAGUCACAACUGCUAUGAAGUCUCAAUCCUGAGC
rnacentral:lncRNA from 1 species